UGUGCACCACUGUCUAUGGUGUGCACAGAGAACGUUUCUCGGUAUUUUCCAUUAAUAAGAUAAUUUCCCCGGUUGCGGUCAUUCAAUGAGAGAUGUCACCCUGUAAGACAAGCUGGCGGACCCCUCCCACCCUCUCAAGCAAGCAGUGAAAGCCCUGCAGGACAAGCUGGCGUACCUCUCCCAUCGUCUCCAUCGGCCCAGUUCAGCACCACCUUCCAGACAGCAAGCAGUGAAAGUCUUACAGGACAAGCUGUCGGACCAUUCUCACACUCUCCAUCAAGCACAUCAAGUGACAGGCCAAUCUUCCCCCCAGAAGUGUUACAACAAAUUAUUGGAGAAACACUGUGUCUUGAUAUGUCUAUGCUAGGUGUUUUUAACAGAGUAUCAAAAUCUUGCUGUACUGUCUGUCCACUAGCCACUUUUUACCACUGUCUUACUGCUUCACUGUUUGCAUGCUAUAUUAGCACAUAUGCAUAACCCCUCCCUCCAUCCCACAGCCGGAUUGUGGCCACACUUAUUCCUU